rnacentral:lncRNA from 1 species
ACAAAUACGGAGGCUUUCAGCACCUUUACUUUCUUCUUCCUCGAACCCAGUACCAUCUUCUUCCCCGAACUCUACAACUCGACUUGGUCAAGCGCCAAGAACAGAGGAAUCUCUCUAUACGACAAACACAAGAAUAGGAAUAGAAAUAGAUUCGUAUGAUCUCUACCCCGAACCUCGAAAGGAAGAAGUCCAACCAACC